rnacentral:tRNA from 1 species
GCCUGGAUGGCUCAGUCAGUUGAGCGUCUCACUUGGGCUCAGGUCCUGAUCUCACAGUUCGUGGGUUCAAGCCCCACAUCGGGCU